rnacentral:misc_RNA from 1 species
UCUUAUGGGUUACAAUGGAACCAUAUUUGCAUAUGGACAAACUUCUAGUGGCAAAACACAUACAAUGGAGGGUGUUCUUGGUGACCCUGUACAUCAAGGUAUUAUUCCUAGAAUUGUCAAUGACAUAUUUAAUCACAUAUAUUCAAUGGAUGAAAACAUUGAGUUCCAUAUUAAAGUAUCCUAUUUUGAAAUUUAUUUGGAUAAAAUCAGGGAUCUACUAGAUGUUUCCAAAACAAAUUUGUCUGUGCAUGAAGACAAAAACAGAGUACCUUAUGUUAAGGGAGCAACAGAAAGAUUUGUUACUAGCCCAGAAGAAGUAAUGGAAGUUAUAGAUGAAGGCAAAGCAAAUAGGCAUAUAGCUGUUACAAAUAUGAAUGAACACAGUUCUCGAAGCCACAGUGUCUUUCUCAUAAAUGUGAAGCAAGAAAAUUUAGAAAACCAAAAGAAACUUAGUGGAAAAUUGUACUUAGUAGAUUUAGCUGGUAGUGAAAAGGUUAGCAAAACUGGAGCAGAAGGUAUGGUCCUAGAUGAAGCAAAAAAUAUUAAUAAAUCUUUAUCUGCACUAGGAAAUGUGAUAUCAGCCCUUGCUGAUGGCAAUAAAAGUCAUAUACCUUAUCGAGAUAGCAAACUGACACGUAUACUGCAAGAAAGUUUAGGUGGUAAUUCUCGCACAACAAUUAUCAUUUGUUGUUCUCCUGCUUCCUAUAACGAAUCAGAAACAAAAUCUACUUUGGAAUUUGGAAGAAGAGCAAAGACAAUCAAGAACACUGUGAUUGUGAAUGAAGAGCUUACCGCAGAAGAAUGGAAACGAAGGUGGGAGAAAGAGAAAGAGAAGGUUUCAAAACUUAAAAGUCAGUUGUCAAGAGCAGAAGCUGAACUUAACCGGUGGCGAAAUGGUGAGUCUGUUCCACAAGAUGAACAGCUACUUACUAAAGAUCUCGAAGCCAGCACCUUAUCUCUUAGCGAUACUUCAUCUGUCACAAAUAUUCCUGCCGCAAUACCACAGGUAUCCUCUGAACCUGUGGGUAAUGAUGAGAGGGUUAAAUUCGAGGAAGAACGUAUGAGAUUGUAUGCCCAGUUAGAUGAGAAAGAUGAUGAAAUUGAUAGGCAAAGUCAGUUGAUUGAGAAACUGAAAGAACAAAUGCUUGAACAGGAGGAGCUAAUUACAUCAACUCGAAGGGAUUAUGAAUUGGUUCAGCAAGAGAUGUCUCGUCUCCAGCAAGAAAAUGAAUCUGCCAAAGAGGAAGUAAAAGAAGUUUUGCAAGCUCUUGAAGAAUUAGCUGUGAAUUAUGACCAGAAAUCUCAGGAAGUUGAUAACAAGAACAGAGAAUAUGAGCAGCUAAGUGAAGAACACAGUCAAAAAUUAUCAAACCUGAAUAAUGCUAUGAAUGAGUUGCAGCAACUAAAAGAUAGUACCAUUCACCAGAAGAAAAGGAUGACAGAAAUGCUAACUAAUCUUCUGAAAGACCUUGGAGAAAUUGGUCUGGUUUUAGGUGGCAAUGUUUCUGACAUUAGGGCUGCUGGUGACUUAUCUGGUAAAGUUGAUGAAGAAUUUACAGUUGUUAGACUAUACAUUAGUAAAAUGAAGUCUGAAGUAAAGGCACUUUCUCAGCGCUGCAGUCAGUUGGAAAGCUUUCAAGUUGACAGCAAUAAGAAAGUUGAGAGCUAUGAAAAAGAACUUGCUGAAUGUCGAUUACUUAUCAGCCAGUAUGAAGCAAAGAUGAAAUCUCUACAAGAAACUAUUAGAGACAAUGAAAACAAAAAGCGAAGUUUGGAAGAAGAGGUUGAUGCUUUAACUGAAGAAUGUGCUAAACUAAAAUCAGCAAAGGAAAUGCAUAUUAUGGCUUCAAAAGAAAAAGAGAAAGAAAAGGAUAGUGCUGAAAAGAUGAAAGAAGCUCUUGAGCAACAGAUCGAAAAACACAGAGAAGCUCACCAAAAACAGUUGGCACAGUUAAGGGAUGAAAUCUCGGAGAAACAAUCGCAAAUUGACCAGCUUAAAGAUGUCAAUCAAAAAUUGUCACUGGCACAAGAAAGACUGCAGUUAGAUUAUGAUAAGCUGAAACAAGAAGAACAGGAGAAAACUCAGAAAUUGCAAGAAUUAACGCUGAUGAGUGAUCGUAGAGAACAAGCUCGACAAGAUCUGAAAGGAUUAGAAGAAACUGUUGCAAAAGAACUUCAGACAUUACAUAACCUCAGAAAGCUCUUUGUUCAAGAUCUUCAAAGCCGUGUCAAAAAGUCAGCCGUUGGAGACGAUAGUGAAGAUAAUGGCGGAAGUCUAGCUCAGAAACAAAAGAUCUCUUUUCUAGAAAACAACUUAGAUCAACUUACAAAAGUUCACAAACAGUUGGUGAGAGAUAAUGCUGAUUUGCGAUGUGAAUUACCUAAAUUAGAAAAAAGACUCAGGGCUACAAUGGAAAGAGUAAAAGCUUUGGAACAAGCUUUGAAAGAAGCCAAAGAAAGUGCAAUGCGAGACAGAAAACGAUACCAACAUGAAGUUGAUCGAAUUAAAGAAGCAGUAAGGCAGAAGAAUUUAGCAAGAAGAGGAAAUAUGGCUCACAUUGCUAAGCCCAUUCGAGCUGGUCAACCUCAUGGUGGUAGUGGCAACCCAGGGAUCAGGCCUUCACAGUUCCAGAAUGCUGGAUCAAAUGUAAACAGUGGAGGUGAGUGAAUUAUUUGCAGCAACAAGAUUCCUAUCCUACAGCAAUUAAAGGUGGCCGAAAAAUUACAACUAACACUCAUAAGAAUGUCAAAGAGGAAAGUUAAUGCUGUAACGCUGUUAAACAAAAGAGCUAUGCUGAAGUUUUGUGGCGACGUACUAGGACCACCAUCCAGUCUGCAAACUUAUAAAAUGCAAACUUCUGUGGAGAUAAACUGCAAUAAGGCUGUUAAUUAUGUUUUUUGCAAUUUUUUUCUUUUCCUCUGCUUAUAUAUGUUCAAUCUUUCCUGAUAUUCAGGGCUUCUCGUCUUUCAAUUUUUGCUUAAUAUUUGAGGGAUAGAAGUACACCAACCAGUGGCUUAUAGUAUUUUGGUACUUUUUUAAUUUCAAAAAGUAUUAUUGAAAUAUCAAACAUAAUUUAAAUAAAAUAACUAUUAAACUCAUCAUACUGUGUAAAAGCAUGCAAGUUCUGAAGCUUGAAUUUAAUAUAGGCAAUGGGUUUCAGGUUGUCCAUGUGCAAUGUAUAUAUCACAUGUUGUUUGACAUAAAUGUUAAUAAUCACAUUUAAAAAUAUUUUAUGAUUGUGCAAGGGAAAAGAUAUUGUAAAUUUGGCAGUACAAAAAUUAUUCUCCUGAAGUGUUUUUCAUUACAACAUAAUUUAAAAUACUACAAACAAUCCAUAAAAAAAUAAAAUGGAGAAUAGCUAUGGAUAGUAAUUUUUUUCUUUUAUUUCAACUAUAUUUGUGUUAAAGUAAAUUAAAAUAUGAUAAUCAUCAGAGGCACAGGAAAUCUAUAAUUAUAGCAAUUUCAAAAAUUGUGUCUUUUUUAAAUAAUAUUACUUUGAUUUGAAAUAGAUUUUUCAUAUUUUUAUGUACAGCUUCUGUGUUCUUAGUGUUUUGUCUGUAUUAUUUUGUUGUAUAAUGAAUGUGUGUAGGUUAUUUUAUAAUUUGGUUGGUGAUGUUAUUAAAAAGAUAUAGUGGGAUCUCACUAUUAUGGUAUGUGUUGCCUGUCUGCUUUGACCAGAUGGGUCAUAAUAGAUGAGACAGAAUAAUCUCUUAGCUUUCAGAUUAACUUAUUUUCUUUAUUAUUUGUAAUUAGUGUAAUUCUGUUCAAUGCUUUGAUUCCUAAUCUGUGGCUGAUAGUGAUUUAGUAAUUGUAAAUAUCUUCUGUAUUAUCUGUAAGAAGUAAUUCAUGUUUGAGUGACUCUGACCAAAUGUGGCUUAUUUUAAUAACACAGUUUCCCCUUCCAAAUUUUAUAUUACCAGUAUAUAUUUGGUAUGACUUACUGGUGCUAUAUAGAUUGUGCUAAUUUCUCCCAACAAGUAGUUAAUUUUAAAUCAAUUACCACUUUGUAUUCAAUAAUCUAAUGAAGUUACUGUUAAAAAAAAUGGGAAAAAUAUCACAAUCCUUAAACCUCUGAAGAGUUUUUAGAUUUUCAAAAUCUUUGUUGAAAAAUGUAUGUUCCGAAGUAAGGUAUUUUUAUAUAAUAGAAGGAUUUUUCUACUAAAGUCUUCAUAGCAGAAAUUUUCCUUUUUUUAAUGAAUCCUAACUGUGCUUGGCAUUUGGCAGCUUCAACUGACAUCUAUCUUAAAUUGUGUGUGUGUGUCUUUGUUAUAUGAAAAGACAUUUUAAUACAAUAUUUUGCCCAAUGUGUUUUGUUAAUUUAAAAGUGCUACUUUAAAAUAUUGUUUUUAUAUUAUAGUUUAAUUUACACUUUGGAUAUUACAAAACAAUUUUGAAUUGCAGUUUAACUGAAUGUCAAAAUGAUAUAUGUGAUACUCUUUAAAGAAAUGGGGAGGGAAGCAAGAUUAGUUUGAUUGCAAGAAAAAAUGGGGAAAAUAAGAAACUAAAAAAUGUAUAUAUAUUAUUUUUUAUUUCUACUGAAAAAACUGGCUAAUAUGCUGUAUUAAAUUAUACUGAAAUAUUUUAUGCUUUUCUUAGUAGUAUUCAUCAUAACAAAACAAAAAAAAAGGCUACUCAUAAAACUUUUACCCAAUUUUAAGAAAAAUUUUAGAGGAAAAAUUACAAAGCUAUAACUAUUUCCAGACUGUUAAGAAUGUUUAUAAAACAUUGUUCAUCAUUAAUUUGUAUAAAAGUGUUAAAGGAAUCUCUAAGCUUGUAUGAAAUUUUAUGUCACAAUGUUUUAUGUAUGAAACUUAUUUUGUGUUAUAAUUAUGCUGGUAAUAAAUCAAGACAUUUUGCCAGUUAAUUAUAGAUAUAACUUUUAGAGCAAAUAACAAGUUUUAACUGUGCCAUUCAGCUAAGAGUUAAAAGGUAAACAAAUUUAGUUUUAACUUUCAGUUGCAGUUUAUGGCUUAUUCUCAUAUUCAUUAUAAAGAUAUUUUAAGGGAAUUCAUUUUUAAAAUCAACUAAAAAUUUUAAUGUGCUGGUAUAUUUCAAAAGGAUACACUAUAAAGGGAAUCAUUUAGAAAAAAUAUUAAAAGAAAUUUGUGUAAAAUAGUUAAUCCUGCAAAAUGAAUGUUACAUAAAAUUUGACCAAAGAAUUUAUUUAAACUAUCUUCUGUGAUUUUUAAGUUAUUUCUACCAUUAUGUUAUUUUACAUGUAAACAUAGAUUACUGCUUUGUUUCUUAAAUAGUGUGACCAAAUCAUUUUUCAUUGCUAAUUUCUCGUUUUAUUUUAUUGUAUAGAUUAAUUUUUUAGAUCAGGUAUACUGAUCAAUGAAUUUUUUGUACUCUCUGCUGUUAACAUUAAAUUAUUUCUGCCUGAAGAGCUGUUUCAGUUGUUUUUAUACAUUAAAUUUUUUUCUAAUGAAUAAAGGAGGAAAAUGGAUGCAUUCAAAAGAUUAAAUUAAAAUCAGAAGGUGGACUUCAGAUGGUUCUUUUCUUUUAAAAUUAUAAACAAAACUUAAUACAUAAGGUAUAGUGCGCACACUUUUAUGAAAUGUGUAUUUCUUAGAACUAUCUCUUCCAUGUUUAUCAGAUUUACUUAUUGAAAUAAUAUAUGUACUUACUUAGGUAAAUAAGCCAAUAUAUGCAAUAAUUCUGUUCACUAGAAACAUUGAUGCCUUUGAUGUUCAAAAGUAGCAAAUGAAAAAUUUCCAUCUUUGAAAGCUAUAGAAAGAUUGCAGCAGUCUUAAUGUUUGGUCAUUGGUGAGCAGUUUUCAGAUUAUUGUGUGCAUAACUUAUUUAUUAGAUCAAGUAUUCCUGCUUUUAGCAGAUUUGAUAAAAUAACAUUAUGCAUCAGAAGCAAAACAGGACCAGAGAUAUAAGCUGUUGAAAUCUAUUUAGCUGUAAUUUUUUUUUUUUUUUUAGUUUCGAAGACCAGCGAGUUUUGUACUUAGACUGAAAAAAUACCAUUGUUUGAAAUUAAUCAUAAAAUGCACCAUUAUCAUAAAACAAGAGACAGUUACUCUUUCACACAGUGUAACUUUAAAUAAAUAAAUGGCUAGCAUA